UAAAGCGGAAACUUGUAAAACAGAACAAUAAUCUCCCAUAGGAGCAGUGUUUCAUAGAUUCCGCUUGGAAACCAGAAACUUGUAAAACAGAACAAUAAUCUCCCAUAGGAACAGUGUUUCACAGAGUCCACUUCUAAACCAGAAACUUGUAAAACAGAACAAUUAUCUCCCAUAGGAGCAGUGUUUUAAAUCCUAAUUCGUCAUCAUCAUCGUUUAACGUCCGUUCUCCAUGCUAGCAUGGGUUGGACGGUUCGACCGGGGAUCUGGGAAGCCGGAAGGCUGCACCAGGCUCCAGUCUGCUCUGGCAGUGUUUCUACAGCUGGAUGCCCUUCCUAACGCCUACCGCUCAGUGAGUGUAGUGGGUGCUUUUUACGUGCCACCUGUACAUGUGCCAGGCGAGGCUGGCAACGGCCAUGAUCGGAUUGGUGCUUUUUACAUGCCACCGGCACGGAAGCCAGUCAAGGCGACGCUGGCAUCGGCAACGAUAUGGAUAGCGCUUUUUACGUACCACCAGUCCAGGGGUCCUGGCAAUUGGUUCCCAGAAAAAUAUUCUACCUGUAAAAUUUAUAAUACUCAUAAAUAAAUGGCAAUAAAACAACAGGAGAAUGUAAAAAAUAUUUUUUGUAAAAUAAAAAGAAUGUCAAGAUCAUUUAUAAUAAAAAUUAUUAUUAUUAUU
rnacentral:lncRNA from 1 species